GAUGAACGCUGACAGAAUGCUUAACACAUGCAAGUCAACUUAAACUUCGGUUUGGGUGGCGGACGGGUGAGUAACGCGUAAAGAACUUGCCUCACAGAUAGGGACAACAUUUGGAAACGAAUGCUAAUACCUGAUAUUAUGAUUUUAGGGCAUCCUAGGAUUAUGAAAGCUAUAUGCGCUGUGAGAGAGCUUUGCGUCCCAUUAGCUAGUUGGAGAGGUAACGGCUCACCAAGGCGAUGAUGGGUAGCCGGCCUGAGAGGGUGAUCGGCCACAAGGGGACUGAGACACGGCCCUUACUCCUACGGGAGGCAGCAGUGGGGAAUAUUGGACAAUGGACCAAGAGUCUGAUCCAGCAAUUCUGUGUGCACGAUGAAGUUUUUCGGAAUGUAAAGUGCUUUCAGUUGGGAAGAAAAAAAUGACGGUACCAACAGAAGAAGUGACGGCUAAAUACGUGCCAGCAGCCGCGGUAAUACGUAUGUCACAAGCGUUAUCCGGAUUUAUUGGGCGUAAAGCGCGUCUAGGUGGUUAUAUAAGUCUGAUGUGAAAAUGCAGGGCUCAACUCUGUAUUGCGUUGGAAACUGUGUAACUAGAGUACUGGAGAGGUAAGCGGAACUACAAGUGUAGAGGUGAAAUUCGUAGAUAUUUGUAGGAAUGCCGAUGGGGAAGCCAGCUUACUGGACAGAUACUGACGCUGAAGCGCGAAAGCGUGGGUAGCAAACAGG
rnacentral:rRNA from 1 species